rnacentral:rRNA from 1 species
AGAGUUUGAUUAUGGCUCAGGAUGAACGCUGGCGGCGUGCCUAACACAUGCAAGUCGAACGAGGUAAAUAAGAUGAAGUUUUCGGAUGGAUUCUUAUUUACCGAGUGGCGGACGGGUGAGUAACGCGUGGGUAACCUGCCUCAUACAGGGGGAUAACGGUUAGAAAUGACUGCUAAUACCGCAUAAGCGCACAGUACCGCAUGGUACAGUGUGAAAAACUCCGGUGGUAUGAGAUGGACCCGCGUCUGAUUAGCUAGUUGGUGGGGUAACGGCCCACCAAGGCGACGAUCAGUAGCCGACCUGAGAGGGUGACCGGCCACAUUGGGACUGAGACACGGCCCAG